rnacentral:rRNA from 1 species
UUUCUACAGGCUUAACACAUGCAAGUCGAGGGGCAGCAUUUUAGUUUGCUUGCAAACUGAAGAUGGCGACCGGCGCACGGGUGAGUAACACGUAUCCAACCUGCCGAUAACUCCGGGAUAGCCUUUCGAAAGAAAGAUUAAUACCGGAUAGCAUACGAAUAUCGCAUGAUAUUUUUAUUAAAGAAUUUCGGUUAUCGAUGGGGAUGCGUUCCAUUAGUUUGUUGGCGGGGUAACGGCCCACCAAGACUACGAUGGAUAGGGGUUCUGAGAGGAAGGUCCCCCACAUUGGAACUGAGACACGGUCCAAACUCCUACGGGAGGCAGCAGUGAGGAAUAUUGGUCAAUGGGCGCGAGCCUGAACCAGCCAAGUAGCGUGAAGGAUGAAGGCUCUAUGGGUCGUAAACUUCUUUUAUAUGGGAAUAAAGUUUUCCACGUGUGGAAUUUUGUAUGUACCAUAUGAAUAAGGAUCGGCUAACUCCGUGCCAGCAGCCGCGGUAAUACGGAGGAUCCGAGCGUUAUCCGGAUUUAUUGGGUUUAAAGGGAGCGUAGGUGGAUUGUUAAGUCAGUUGUGAAAGUUUGCGGCUCAACCGUAAAAUUGCAGUUGAAACUGGCAGUCUUGAGUACAGUAGAGGUGGGCGGAAUUCGUGGUGUAGCGGUGAAAUGCUUAGAUAUCACGAAGAACUCCGAUUGCGAAGGCAGCUCACUAGACUGUCACUGACACUGAUGCUCGAAAGUGUGGGUAUCAAACAGGAUUAGAUACCCUGGUAGUCCACACAGUAAACGAUGAAUACUCGCUGUUUGCGAUAUACAGUAAGCGGCCAAGCGAAAGCAUUAAGUAUUCCACCUGGGGAGUACGCCGGCAACGGUGAAACUCAAAGGAAUUGACGGGGGCCCGCACAAGCGGAGGAACAUGUGGUUUAAUUCGAUGAUACGCGAGGAACCUUACCCGGGCUUAAAUUGCAACAGAAUAUAUUGGAAACAGUAUAGCCGUAAGGCUGUUGUGAAGGUGCUGCAUGGUUGUCGUCAGCUCGUGCCGUGAGGUGUCGGCUUAAGUGCCAUAACGAGCGCAACCCUUAUCUUUAGUUACUAACAGGUCAUGCUGAGGACUCUAGAGAGACUGCCGUCGUAAGAUGUGAGGAAGGUGGGGAUGACGUCAAAUCAGCACGGCCCUUACGUCCGGGGCUACACACGUGUUACAAUGGGGGGUACAGAAGGCGGCUACCUGGUGACAGGAUGCUAAUCCCAAAAACCUCUCUCAGUUCGGAUCGAAGUCUGCAACCCGACUUCGUGAAGCUGGAUUCGCUAGUAAUCGCGCAUCAGCCAUGGCGCGGUGAAUACGUUCCCGGGCCUUGUACACACCGCCCGUCAAGCCAUGAAAGCCGGGGGUACCUGAAGUACGUAACCGCAAGGAGCGUCCUAGGGUAAAACUGGUAAUUGG